UGGUCCAUAAUUAGAAUAUUGUAUAAAUAAGUGGCAGCAUAUUACGGGUGCAUGCAACAAAAAAUGGUCUUCUCCUGUUUCUGUCCUAUUAAAUUCAAAAGGAUGAGUACAAGGGGAAGAUUACAUAACAGGAUUGGGCAGUUAAUUGUGUGAACAACUAAAGAACCUGAGUAAGCAAUUAACAAUGCUAAGGUUAAUAAAUUACAGCUGCCUUGAUUCAUUCACUCCUACUCUUCAUAACAGUAAGACUGAUACAUUACAAGAGAAGUACAGAAAAGGUAUUUAGUGUGUACACUACGUUGCCUUGACACCUACACCAGAAGGAGCCUUUUCAUCCUUCUCCGCAUUUCCUUCAUCCUCUUCAUCAGCAUCGGCAUCAGCAUCAGCUAGUUUUGUCAGCUCUUCCUGAAUCAUCAGCUUUACAGUUGAUUUCCUCGCUGCCAGAUCAGUGCUGAACUCCUUUGCUGAAAUGGUCACAAAUCUUGUUAGGGAUCCCACCAUCAACAAACACACGACAAAGAAAGACAUUUGAGCACUGUAUAUGUUUCACACCCAAACCCACAAGUGCGUAAAACUGAGAUAAGUUAGGGAAGGGGGAGGAGGAGCACAGGAUUGCUUACCAAGCGACUUCAAAAAUGUCAGUGAAUGUAGCCUGCGAAAGAGAGUAUAUGAUCAGGUAUAUUAAAGAAAGAAUACUAACAUUAGUGAUACUAAAGUGCAUUAUGCAUGCCUAGUUACUCUGACACCAAUCCAAAUCAAGCUAAUACUACUAGAACAUGAGAGACUACAACAAUAUCCAAGAGAGAACAGAAUAGACUACACGUUAUUGGACAUGCAUCUAAUAUUCUUAGGCUGGACCACGAUGCAGAUCAUAAAUUGUGGAAACACAUGCCUUCUGCAACCUCUUUCCUUUUAACCAGCAAAUAGGAGAAAAACCACAAAAAAAGGGAUAAAAUUUCAGAACUAACCGUAUUGAAAUCAACCUCCUUGAGGAUCAUACAGAUCUUGUUUCUAAGAACAUCAUCACUUGGCUCUAGUGUCUCCUCUUUGGGUUUCUGUUUCACUUUCAGAACUUUUUCCCUGUGUGAACAAAAAUAAUGAACUUCAGAAAACUGACUCACGUAAAAGGGUUGUAACCAUUGUUACAGGGACUGUCAACCUGUGCAACAUCAGCACACAACAGAUGAAAGGGGAAUACUCUCGCCUUACCAGGGGUGUCGUUUGAUGGCGACUUCUUUGGAAUUGAUGACUUCUUCAUUGCUUCAUCCUUCUUCUUAGCUGAAGACUUCUUCGCACUUGAGUCAUUAUUGCUUUUAGAGCGGUCUGGUGAUUUUGCUGGUAAUUUCUUGGGUGGGGGCUGGUCUUUUUAGAUAUUGUCACUUUCUUUGUUUUGGCUUUGUCAGAAGAGACCUUCUUUUUAGAAGAUUUUGCUGAACCUGCCUUCUUCUUUCCUUUGUCCUCAUCUGACUCUUCUUCAGAUUCACUUCCUUUCUCUUCACUUGCAGCUUGAUCAGACAUCUCCUCUGAUCCUUCCUGAGCACCAUUCGUGCCUUCCCCUUUAUCUUCUUCAGAUUCAUCUUCUGAUUCGGGAGAAGCGCUCUUUGCCUCCCCACGCUUUUUAGAAUCACUCUCAGCUUUCUUUCGACUCUGAAAAUCAUAUUCACAGAAACUGGUAAGAAGAUAGGUUUAUUGAGUAUGUACUAGCAUGGCUCCACACACCAUGUUCAACAAUAAUUUUAACUCGGUUUCCUUCUUUAGUCCAAUUUAACAGCCAAGUUCCACAGAUAAAUUGGCAUUGGUAUUUUCAGUCGGUCACUCUCUUCAUCUUUUCUAUCUUGAUUCGUUGACUAUGCCAACUUGAAAAUUGCAAAUCAACAGGAAAAAAGACUUGAACUUUUUAAUGUCAAGCACAAAGUUAUCCACAUCAUAUAAGUAAAUAACACUGUAGCAGCCACAUUAUCUACUCUUCAUUCAACACCUUGUUUCAGGAGUGACUUGCAUUACUGCUGAAAGACCCAGCCAAUUCCUUACCCAAGAGCGAAAAACACAAUUUUUGGAUUCUUUGAUUGUAUAACUAGGACCGCAAAAUGCAAGUAAAUACAUGCUCUACCACAAUUUUAUGCCCCAGCCUAUAAAGAUUUAUUAACCAAGGUAUCUCAGCCCAUGAAUGAGAAACAGCAACUACUAUCUACAAAACUAUUGUGCUGUUAGUGCAAGAAGUAACCGUGGCCAAACAAGAUCUGAUUUAACUUUCCAGAGGUUGACUUAUCUAUUGAAAAAAAGAGUACUAUAUAUACAAGAGAAGUUUUGAGAUGCUUAAAAUGAGGUCAUCAAAAAUAAUGAAUAAACAAUAACAUGAAUGAUUGCAAAAAAAUUUUAUUAUUUUUUAUUUAUUCCCUUAUUUUUAUUUAUUCCCUUAUACAAGUAAACUGAAUGAACCUUUGACCAGAAAUACAAUGAGCAAAACAAAAGUACCUUUGAACCUUUAGAUGGUGUAGUACUCCCUGAUGCUGGUUUGCUAGUCCUCUUUCUCUUCAUUCCCUUAGUUGCGGAAUGCAUGACAAGGNAAUCAUUUUAUUAUUAUACAUCAAUCAUUUUAUUAUUAUAUCAAGACAUGAUACGUUAAUUAUUUUAUUGUUAGUAAAAGGGAUACUCGUCUGACAUACAAAAGGUUGAAUAUUUAUAUAAGUUAUACAUAUGUAUUAUUUGUGAUCCAUCUAAAUGCAAAGUUUAAUAUAAUAUGUAUAUAUUUGUGAGCAAGCAAAAACCAAAGGUAAAUAAGUAAGAACGUCAAAUGUGCUUGAUAGCGCAAAACUAAACUUCAAAUGAAAGAGAACAAAUUCAAUUAUCGUCACAAUAAUUUUGGGAUAAUAGUUUAUAAGUUACUGAAAUUUGGUCAAAUGUUAAUUUUACACACCAACUUAUAAAUCUAGAUAAUAGUUAAUCUGAUUUUUCUAACUAGUAAAAUUUUGAUACAAUUUAAUAUCGAUAUAUACUCAUUUGAAAAUUCAAGGCGGUCAAAUCGAUCAACAAAUAAACCGAUAUCGUUUUUACUUGCCAAAACAUCUUGUAGAUUAUUGACAUAAAAUUACAACCUCAUUAGCAAAAUUAAAUUAAAUUAAAAUUCCAAAAAUUGUCCAGCAGAAUUUUAAAAUGGUAUGCAGAACUAGAAUUUUGCCAAAAUUUAAUUAUACGGGUUUUCAUCGCCAAUAACUUAUAAUUUUCUUCCAACUCCAACUAAUCAGUAUGAACUUUCCCCCCUAACCCACACAUGCUGCUAUGCAAUCUUCAUCACAUACGUUUAAAAUGCAUUUUGCCCGGAUAACACGAGUGCAAUUAUUUUUGGUGUGGUCCAUAAUUAGAAUAUUGUAUAAAUAAGUGGCAGCAUAUUACGGGUGCAUGCAACAAAAAAUGGUCUUCUCCUGUUUCUGUCCUAUUAAAUUCAAAAGGAUGAGUACAAGGGGAAGAUUACAUAACAGGAUUGGGCAGUUAAUUGUGUGAACAACUAAAGAACCUGAGUAAGCAAUUAACAAUGCUAAGGUUAAUAAAUUACAGCUGCCUUGAUUCAUUCACUCCUACUCUUCAUAACAGUAAGACUGAUACAUUACAAGAGAAGUACAGAAAAAGGUAUUUAGUGUGUACACUACGUUGCCUUGACACCUACACCAGAAGGAGCCUUUUCAUCCUUCU
rnacentral:lncRNA from 1 species